UGGUGUAGCGGUGAAAUGCGCAGAUAUCAGGAGGAACACCGAUGGCGAAGGCAGGUCUCUGGGCUGUAACUGACGCUGAGGAGCGAAAGCAUGGGGAGCGAACAGGAUUAGAUACCCUGGUAGUCCAUGCCGUAAACGUUGGGCACUAGGUGUGGGGGACAUUCCACGUUUUCCGCGCCGUAGCUAACGCAUUAAGUGCCCCGCCUGGGGAGUACGGCCGCAAGGCUAAAACUCAAAGGAAUUGACGGGGGCCCGCACAAGCGGCGGAGCAUGCGGAUUAAUUUGAUGCAACGCGAAGAACCUUACCAAGGCUUGACAUGGACCGGAAAGACCUGGAAACAGGUGCCCCGCUUGCGGCCGGUUUACAGGUGGUGCAUGGUUGUCGUCAGCUCGUGUCGUGAGAUGUUGGGUUAAGUCCCGCAACGAGCGCAACCCUCGUUCUAUGUUGCCAGCGGUUCGGCCGGGGACUCAUAGGAGACUGCCGGGGUCAACUCGGAGGAAGGUGGGGACGACGUCAAAUCAUCAUGCCCCUUAUGUCUUGGGCUUCACGCAUGCUACAAUGGCCGGUACAAAGGGUUGCGAUACUGUGAGGUGGAGCUAAUCCCAAAAAGCCGGUCUCAGUUCGGAUUGGGGUCUGCAACUCGACCCCAUGAAGUCGGAGUCGCUAGUAAUCGCAGAUCAGCAACGCUGCGGUGAAUACGUUCCCGGGCCUUGUACACACCGCCCGUC
rnacentral:rRNA from 1 species